rnacentral:lncRNA from 1 species
AGGUAGUGCUGGCCUUGGUCUCAUGACUCAGAAUCUUUAUUCCUCCCAGUCUCCAGUAUGAAUACUUCCCCAGGCUUGGUACCUUAGGCUAUCAAGAGAGGUAUACUAUAGCACCUGAUAUCAUCUUGCAGUAGGAAGGGGGAAGUCCCGGAGAGACUUCUAUCUUCUAACACUUUAUCAGUUUGUCGUGAAGAUAAGAAUUUCCAGAAAACCCACAUUCAGAGGACUUCUACCAAUUGGCCAGAAUGCCAUGAGGGCACCACUAUCAACAAGAAAGGUGUCGAUCGGGCUCGGCUGAUAGGCUGAAAGGAGAUGAUUACCUCAGCACUGAGCUGCCCCAAGCUUAUCAGCAAGGGAGAGCAAAGGGUGGACAGACUGACGGACAGGCGGACGUGUAAGCUCAGAGGCAGUACUUCGUACUCAGUUGCCGUGUUCUCUGUCGAUUGAAAGCUUAGGGUGUUUUGGUGUCUGUGGUCCCUGCUGCCACCCGCUGCUACAGGAAAGGAAACCUGUUCUGCAGUGAUGCUGAUGGCUGCGGACUCGUGACUGAGAAUGAGGGACAUUGAAGGCUUCUGUGAUAACCUCCUCGCCUCACCCUAGCCCCGCCCCCCCCCAAAAAAAAGAAAAAGAAAAAAAAAAAGAAACGGUACAGACAGAAAGCUAUUGAGCAGUCCUUACAAACUGGAAUAACGAUGCUAAGAGAAUAGCUCUUCAGAGCUGAUGGUUCUGGGCGGGGCGUGUUUACAGACCACGUGACCCAGUUUCUUUAAAGUGCUGGCUAUUGGAGUUUGAUCAUGCGCCAGUGAGUAUACAGGCAACACAAACUGGACUCCAUGGGGGUUUUCUGUGGGGUGCCCAAAUAAUUGAUAAAAACACUGUCUUGUGAGGAGAAGUUUUCUUUUCAAGCAGGGCAUGGUCGUGCACAAUUUUAAUCUUAGCACUCAGGAGGCAGAGGCAGGCAGAUCCCUGAGUUCCAGGCCAAGCUAGUCUGCAGUUUCAGGACAGACAGGCUAAACAGAAAAAAACCCAUCUCAACGGGAUUUUUUUUCUUUUAGUAUUACAAAUAACCCAUAACUUCUGUACUGCAGGUAGGGUACAAAACAAAGAAUCUUUUCUUCUGCAGUGUCUCAAAAGGCAUGGGCUAGGCAGAUGGCUCAGUCAGUAGGCACCUACCUCAUGGUCAUGAGGACCUGAGUUCAAUAGCCCAUGUCAAAACAGCCCAAAUUCCUAGAGUGUACAUGAAACCCAGAGUCAGGAAGGCAGAGAUUGGCAGAUCCCUGGAGUUCAAUGAUUAACUGUACCUGGCCUUCUUGGGCAGGUUUCAGGCCAACGAGAGAUUUUUGUCUUAGAAACAAGGCAGAUGGUGUCAGAGUAGUGACAACAUAUGUUGUCCUCUGGCCUCCACGCACGAACAUGAACAUGCAUGAGCAUGAACACAUACCUCAAGCAGAAAACAUUUGUAGCACUUAUUAGUGAUCAGAAUAGGAUGCCCGUGCACGGCCAUUCACUGCAAUUGUUGCUUAGCUGAACGUUGGCCUUGUUUACGAUGUCCUCUGAGUUCAGCGAGAUGCCCCUUUAAACCUCUAGGAGUUAAGCCUUAACAUAACACUACAUCACAGCAACUCUAUUGCCCAAAUCAGCCACUGGUUUAAGGAGCGUUUCCUACCAUCGUCUGGCUAGCCAUGCUUCAGGGAGUCUUCUGAGAACUUUCUAGGAAAGAAACCAUUCCUCCUUGACUACGAAGAGAACUCUUUCUUCAUCUCAAGGAUGACGAGUGGGAACAUCAUGAUGCCUGAAACAUCAGCCGUGGUGAGAGGAUGGCUCAGGAAAAGGUCACAGAACUAAAAAAAGUUAGCUCUACCGGCCCUGAAAUGCAUUACUUCCCAGCUUCUUAUGAUGUGGGAUGACAUAAUAAACUCCUCCUUGUGUAUGGAUUCAGACCUGGCUUUCUGGGACUCCGAAGUCCCAGGCUCUCCGUUUCAGUUAAGACAUAGGCUUCUCCAGCAGCAGCUCUCUUAUUGAGGUUCAGUCUGUGGGACACAGGGCAGUUCUUUGAUGUGUUCAAGCCACUGGGUCAUAUCCCACAAAGCCACGGCAGCCUUGGUAAGACCAAAUAUUCUAAAGCCCACAGGGUCAAGAGAUUCAACGUUAGCCACGCUGACAGCAAGCUCUGGGGUCUUCACUUGCUCCGUGAAAGAUUAUCCACUUGGCCUUCAGCCACCAGGAACCUAUCUGCCCCGAGGUGCCUAAUCAGACAGGAAACAUAGGAGGCCUAAGAAAACAACUAAAUUGAUAGGAAUAAAAAUGCUGAUCUGUUUUUAAAAUGCUAUAAUUUGGGGCCCUAAGCCUUCUACGUGACUACGUAUAUGUUUGUUGUACAAAGAUUGCUUGAACACACAAAAAUAUAACCAAAUGUACAUAUAUUAAAAAAUUGUGUGUGUGUGUGUGUCUGUAUGGGGAAUAUUUGGUUCUCCUAAGUUGUUUAUCUAGAUGUUUUUUCACAUAAAAUACUUAAAUGUGGUUAAAAUGUCAUCUGACAGACAUUUUCAUUUUUUUCAUUCCAGAAAAAUAAUCACUAGGUACAGCAGUGUGUGCUUGCUGUUUCCAGAAACCAUCUAGAAUUGAGCAUCAAGCUUAGGACUCCGAAUUACAGAACACCCAUCACUGCACAGAUCUACAUCCGAAUAUACAGAACACCCAUCACUGCACAGAUUUCAUCUAAAAAGAUAAUCUGAAGAGAUGUGCUGCCUUGCCUACAGUCAUAAAACAGAAUACCACGGGGAAAUAAAAAUAAGAGUUUGCAUUAUAUCCUGACAUUUCUUAGAGGGCUUAAGUAAAGCCACACAGACCAAGAAGAACCUGGGUGAAGAAAGGAUCAGAAGACCCUAGAGGACACGGCAAACCCACCCAGGGGAAUGGCAUAGCUGUGCGUUGUCACUCCGUCUGAGCAUUUCUCAAAGUGUGGGAAGAGCCAUCCAGAGGAGGGGAAAAGCCACAUCAGUGAGAAGCAAGGAGGGUACAGAGUGAUGACUGACACCCAGGUCCUAAGAAAGCAGUUGUUCUCAACCUUCCCAGAGCUGUGACCCCUGAAUACAGUUCCUCAUGUUGUGCUGACCCCCCAGCCACAGAAUUAUUUUCGUUGCUACUUCAUUAACUGACAUUUUGCUACUCUCGAAAAUCAUAAUGCAAAUAUCUGUGUUGUCUUCGGCAACCCGUGACAGGGUCAUUCGACUCGCUAAGGGGUGGAGACCCACAGGUUGAGAACUGUUGUGCUAAAGCGGGUGGCUGGCUCCUCUCUGCUGAGUACUGCAAGCUCCCACUGAAACCUGUGAUUGGUGACUUGGGGUAGAGGUGGCCAGGGUCUGCUUAUCAAAGCUACCUGUUGCAAUACUAGAAGGAAAACUGAAACACAGACCUAGAAUCUAACCAUUCUCGCAAUAAAGAACCCAUGCACGUGUGCGUGCGUAC